CCCCUUAAACCCUUGCACACGUUCAUCGUGGACAAACAGCUGAAGACAGAAAGCCUUAAGUCAAAGCCAAGAUUUCUUCUACUUUUUCCUGUAAAAACUUUCCAAAAAGCUUGGGGUUCGAUCGGCGCAGAUGGUGGCGAUGAUGAUGCGUCUGGGCCGGCUUUCCGGUCCCAUGAUGGCCACGUUGGGACCACGCCUCUUCUCUCAUUCCGCUGCCGGUACUACUAGUGCCGCUGGCCGCGGAUUGGCCUCGUGUGGAAACUCGUUGCUGGUCGGUUUCUUGCGCGGGAGUGUUCCGGCCAAUGAUGCUGGCGUGAAUUGGAUUGUGGGGGUGCGGAGCUGCAGCACGGUAGCGCAGCAGCAGGUGCAGAAUGGUAAGAAUCAUGCUUCGAAUGCCGCUCCGGCAGCUGACAGUACUAAGGAAGCGAAGGAGAUUGUGAGUUACUGGGGCGUGCCGCCGGUGAAGGUUGUGAACAAGGACGGCACCGUAUGGAAGUGGGACUGCUUUAGGCCCUGGGAGACGUACCAAGCGGACCUGUCGAUUGAUCUGAAGAAGCACCACGUGCCUUUGAACUUAUUGGACAAAUUGGCUUAUUGGAUGGUCAAAGCCCUCAGGGUGCCCACUGACCUGUUCUUUCAGAAGCGAUAUGGAUGCCGGGCAAUGAUGCUAGAAACUGUGGCAGCUGUUCCCGGCAUGGUUGGAGGCAUGCUGCUGCAUUGCAAGUCACUGAGGCGAUUUGAGCAGAGUGGUGGCUGGAUCAAAUCACUGCUGGAAGAAGCUGAGAAUGAGCGCAUGCACCUCAUGACAUUCAUGGAGGUAACCAAGCCUAGGUGGUACGAUCGUGCACUGGUGAUUUCUGUCCAAGCUGUCUUCUUCAAUGCUUACUUCUUAGGCUAUAUGAUAUCUCCCAAAUUUGCUCACCGGGUGGUGGGUUACCUGGAAGAGGAGGCAAUACACUCGUACACCGAGUUCCUCAACGAACUGGACAAAGGUAACAUCAAGAACGUGCCGGCUCCGGCCAUUGCUAUUGAUUACUGGCAGCUUCCUCCCAACUCCACCUUACGUGAUGUUGUCAUGGUGGUAAGAGCAGAUGAGGCACACCACCGCGAUGUCAAUCACUUCGCAUCCGACGUGCAUUUUCAUGGACGCGAGUUGAAGGAUGUUUCUGCUCCAGUUGGAUAUCACUAAGUCCUAUAAUUUUGGUUGCUUGGUGUGAGAAAGUCACAAGUUUUAAUCUCUUGAUUGAAUAAGUUUGUUUUGAAGCACAGGGAACCUCUCCCAAGUAUUUAUAUAUUUAUUUAUUUUACUAGCAAAAAAUGGUAGGAGGGGCCAAGUUCAAAGGUGCCUUUCCUCUCUGGGUGUGAUCAUGAUGGUAUCUUUUCUCGUUAGAAAUCGGAUAUGAAGUCUAGAUGGCGAGAAGCAACUAGAAUCCUACAAAGAAGUUCUAGCCACGGUCGUGGCAUUAGUGCCCUCGCCGUAGAAGGAUGAGACAACUUCAAGACACACCUUCUGCCAACUCUCACAGUUCCACCUCCUGACUGUAUUUUAUUGUAAAUACUCGGUUUGUUACAUCUCAAUUUUAUUGUAACGACUUGAGACUGUGAGAGAUGUAACAAAAAUUCUUACCGCUAUAAAAUUAAGGCAGCAAACGGUGGAACCCACUACCCAAGAAAAACAGUUGUUGCCCUUCAGAGUAAUCCACCGCCAAAUCUUACAAGUUGCCGGUUAGAUAACUUAUUGUCAACAGACAGAUGAAAGAUGGAGGUAUUUUGCCCUUCUGCAAUCCGGGGAAAGAAAAUUUCAAGAUCAGGAGGGACGGAACUUGAAGCAGAGUCUUCUGAAUUGACUUUGGAUAGGUGGGAUGAGCCGAGGAGAUGGGACAUCAAAAAGAGCUAUUUUGAUAGGACCAGCAGACUCGGCUUCCCUCUCUGUCAGCAAUGGACACCGAAGCAUACAUGCAUGUUAGAACAAUGUGGAAGCAUUCGGAUGCAAAACAAGAAGGAUGUAUGUGGUCGGACUAUAGAUUUGGGCUCAUUUGGCUGUAAGACUCAAUUGAAAUCAACUCGAUUUAGUCUAAUUUUAAAUUGAAUAACAUCUAAAUACCCAACUCUUAAAUUAUUAAAUUCAUCUAAACUAAAAGCCUCUUUAUAUGUG